rnacentral:rRNA from 12 species
UCCGGUGUCGAUGCGCUUAGGGGACACACCCGUUCCCAUCCCGAACACGAUGGUUAAGACCUAAGCGGCCGAUGAUACUAUGCUGGAGACGGCAUGGGAAAGCAGGUGGAUGCCGGAU